AGUCAGGCUUUGGGUCAGUGCUGGUUGAAAGACGGGGCUGUCAGCAAUCCCUCCAAACUUUCUGGAGGUGUGAUUGACGGCUGGCUGACUCAGAGGGAAACAUGCCACCUACUGACUCUUGCAGCACCCGGGAUUUUCCCUGAAAACUAUUCAAAAAUUCACACGGAGCUUCACUGAUUUACGGACAGAAUCACCCAGAAAAGAGCUCUGUGCAAGGCCCUGCUGUGGAGAAGGUAUCUCUGACUACCUUCUGCCAAAAUCAAGUGAAGUCAAGUGGCCAGAAAGAUCACUUGCUACUGAUGUAGGGCUUGGCAGUGCCAGGUCCUUGGUAUCGGUGGCAGGAUUCAUGGCUACCCCUGUUCUGGAAGGGAUGAGAGGACUGAAGGACAGGACAUCACAGAGGAACUGGUGAAUUUAGAGAAAUGUCAAACACAGACAGAGGAG